UACGAAGGGGACUAGCGUUGUUCGGAAUUACUGGGCGUAAAGGGCGCGUAGGCGGACCACCAAGUCAGGGGUGAAAUCCUGCGGCUCAACCGUAGAAGUGCCUUUGAUACUGAUCGUCUCGAGGGGGAUAGGGGCGUGCGGAACCUCCGGUGGAGCGGUGAAAUGCGUAGAUAUCGGAAGGAACACCGGUGGCGAAAGCGGCGCGCUGGAUCCCUUCUGACGCUGAGGCGCGAAAGCCAGGGGAGCAAACGGG
rnacentral:rRNA from 1 species